CUAACAUUUCACUUGACUUGCAAAAGGAAUUCCAAAGUCGAAGAAUAAAAGCAGACACCCCUCAUUGGCACUAAGAAAAAUGACUGUCCCCACCAGCAGGCAGUGAGAGAGGGCCUGCAAGGCAGGGAAGUCUCAAGGUUACUUUCUCUCCAGAGUCUUAAUUUACAAGGCAGAAAUGCACAGCUUCUCCAGACCACCAGCAGGACAUCAAGGUUAACUAUGAUCCCUGGACUCCCACUCGUGCCAUUUAAAGUUGAAAAUACUUUGGUCUAGCACAGAUAUUUCAUUGGAUGAGAUCCAAAUGACUACAAGUAAUGGAGAGAUAUACUGUGGAAAGUAUGAUCUGGCCACCAGAGUGGGAGAAGAUGUGCAGGGGAUGAGAGCAGAAAGGAGAGAGAUGAAAAAGUGAGAACCUGUCCAUGAAGCAAGAAGAUAAUGCAAGCUCUGAAAGAUCUGCAGGAAAAAAUAGCUUAGGGAAAAAGGUACAUCUUAAAGUUCCAGAGUAGCUGUCUGCAAAUCUU